rnacentral:rRNA from 1 species
AGUGAACACUGGCGGUAGGCCUAACACAUGCAAGUCGAACGGCAGCACAGUAAGAGCUUGCUCUUACGGGUGGCGAGUGGCGGACGGGUGAGGAAUACAUCGGAAUCUACUUUUUCGUGGGGGAUAACGUAGGGAAACUUACGCUAAUACCGCAUACGACCUACGGGUGAAAGCAGGGGAUCUUCGGACCUUGCGCGAUUGAAUGAGCCGAUGUCGGAUUAGCUAGUUGGCGGGGUAAAGGCCCACCAAGGCGACGAUCCGUAGCUGGUCUGAGAGGAUGAUCAGCCACACUGGAACUGAGACACGGUCCAGACUCCUACGGGAGGCAGCAGUGGGGAAUAUUGGACAAUGGGCGCAAGCCUGAUCCAGCCAUACCGCGUGGGUGAAGAAGGCCUUCGGGUUGUAAAGCCCUUUUGUUGGGAAGGAAAAGCAGCAGGUUAAUACCCCGCUGUUCUGACGGUACCCAAAGAAUAAGCACCGGCUAACUUCGUG